rnacentral:rRNA from 1 species
AAAUUGAAGAGUUUGAUCAUGGCUCAGAUUGAACGCUGGCGGCAGGCCUAACACAUGCAAGUCGAGCGGUAGCACAGAGAGCUUGCUCUCGGGUGACGAGCGGCGGACGGGUGAGUAAUGUCUGGGAAACUGCCUGAUGGAGGGGGAUAACUACUGGAAACGGUAGCUAAUACCGCAUAACGUCGCAAGACCAAAGUGGGGGACCUUCGGGCCUCAUGCCAUCAGAUGUGCCCAGAUGGGAUUAGCUAGUAGGUGGGGUAAUGGCUCACCUAGGCGACGAUCCCUAGCUGGUCUGAGAGGAUGACCAGCCACACUGGAACUGAGACACGGUCCAGACUCCUACGGGAGGCAGCAGUGGGGAAUAUUGCACAAUGGGCGCAAGCCUGAUGCAGCCAUGCCGCGUGUAUGAAGAAGGCCUUCGGGUUGUAAAGUACUUUCAGCGAGGAGGAAGGGGG